GAGUGAGGACAGUUCAGAAGAAGAGCUUAGCUUUGGAAAUUUUAACAAACUAGUGGCACACAUCUGAAUGUGUUUCCUGGGUAUUGCUUAGAAGGAAUGAAAUAGUGCUUCCUUGUUAAGUGAAGAAACUCAUGAAAAAGGCUGAAAAUGACCUCAAGAAACUGCCAGCUUACCAACAGAGUCAGAAAAAGAAGAAUACAAAGGUACAGCAAUACAGAAAUGAUUUUAACCAGCAUUCAACUAGCACAGCAAUAUGAACCUCAUACACUUUAAGGAAUUACAACAACAAGGAUUCCAAAUCCUUUAACAGUCUGGGUUCUCAGCAGCACCAACCAUUGCUACUGUUCCAAGUCACCCAGGGAAAGGAGAAAAUUACCGACUUUCAUAAACAGCAUACAUGUUUAAGAACUUUUGCAGUGUGUGAGUAAUAUGUUGCAGUCAUUCUGCUACUGCAUGCCAACUGUUUCAAAAUACAGCCUCUGUGUGCAUACUUAAUACUUCCCAAAUUUAUGUAAUGUGAAACUGGUCUACAAAUGUUGCAUAUGUGUAAUUAGAAUAAUAAUGUAUUGUUAUUGCUAUUAUUAUUAUGCAAGCUUCUCAUUUGCCAGUUUGCAUACAAUAGGUACUUUUUUUAAAAAUUAUAACCUCACCAAUUCACAUCCCUUGAUAUUUCUGCUAUUACAGUUCAUAAAGUCUGAG